CGGCGGCACGCUUACACAUGCAAGUCGAACGAGAAACCCGAGCUUGCUCGGGUGGACAGUGGCAGACGGCUUAGUAACGCGUGGGUAUCUACCUAGAGGUUUGGAACAACUAUUGGAAACGAUAGCUAAUACCAAAUAUUCCCUAAGGGGGAAAGAUAUAUCGCCUUUAGAUGAGCCCGCGUCGGAUUAGCUUGUUGGUAGGGUAAAGGCCUACCAAGGCAACGAUCCGUAGCUGGUCUGAGAGGAUGAUCAGCAAG
rnacentral:rRNA from 1 species